AUACGUAGGGGGCGAGCGUUGUCUGGAAUGAUUGGGCGUAAAGGGCGCGUAGGCGGCCGCUUAAGUCUGGAGUGAAAGUCCUGUUUUCAAGAUGGGAAUUGCUUUGGAUACUGGGGGGCUUGAGUGCAGGAGAGGUUAUCGGAAUUCCCGGUGUAGCGGUGAAAUGCGUAGAGAUCGGGAGGAACACCAGUGGCGAAGGCGGGUAACUGGACUGCAACUGACGCUGAGGCGCGAAAGUGUGGGGAGCAAACAGGAUUAGAUACCCUGGUAGUCCACACUGUAAACGAUGAAUGCUAGGUGUAAGAGGUAUCGACCCCUUUUGUGCCGGAGUCAACACAAUAAGCAUUCCGCCUGGGGAGUACGGCCGCAAGGUUGAAACUCAAAGGAAUUGACGGGG
rnacentral:rRNA from 1 species